rnacentral:rRNA from 1 species
CGCAAGGGUGACCCAGCAACGCCGCGUGGAGGAUGAAUGUCGUAAGAUUGUAAACUCCUGUUAGAGGGGAAGAAUAGUACCGGUUGGACCGGUAUAUGACUGUACCCUCAGAGAAAGCCCCGGCUAACUUCGUGCCAGCAGCCGCGGUAAUACGAAGGAUGCAAGCGUUAUCCGGCAUUAUUGGGUUUAAAGGGUGCGUAGGCGGACUAAUAAGUCAGUGGUGAAAGCCUGCAGCUUAACUGCAGAAUUGCCAUUUNGACUGUUAGUCUUUAGUACAGUUGAGGUAGGCGGAAUGGGUCAUGUAGCGGUGUAAUGCUUAGAUAUGACACAGAACACCGAUUGCGAAGGCAGCUUGCUAAGCGGUAACUGACGCUGAGGCACGAAAGCGUGG